rnacentral:rRNA from 1 species
UGGGGAAUUUUGCGCAAUGGGGGAAACCCUGACGCAGCAACGCCGCGUGGGUGAUGAAGGCCCUCGGGUCGUAAAGCCCUGUCGGGUGGGAAGAAUCCUUCGACGGUGAACAAUCGGCGAAGAUGACGGUACCACUAGAGGAAGCACCGGCUAACUCUGUGCCAGCAGCCGCGGUAAUACAGAGGGUGCAAGCGUUGUUCGGAAUCACUGGGCGUAAAGCGCGUGUAGGCGGCUGGUUGUGUCGAAUGUGAAAGCCCUCGGCUUAACCGAGGAAGUGCGUUCGAAACUGACUAGCUUGAGUACCGGAGAGGAAGGUGGAAUUCCCGGUGUAGAGGUGAAAUUCGUAGAUAUCGGGAGGAACACCAGUGGCGAAAGCGACCUUCUGGACGGAUACUGACGCUGAGACGCGAAAGCGUGGGGAGCAAACAGGAUUAGAUACCCCCGUAGUCC